AAAGGGUUUUACUGGUUUUGGAUGGGCUCACGGCCUAUCAGCUUGUUGGUGGGGUAAUGGCCUACCAAGGCGACGACGGGUAGCCGGCCUGAGAGGGUGACCGGCCACACUGGGACUGAGACACGGCCCAGACUCCUACGGGAGGCAGCAGUGGGGAAUAUUGCACAAUGGGCGCAAGCCUGAUGCAGCGACGCCGCGUGAGGGAUGACGGCCUUCGGGUUGUAAACCUCUUUCAGCAGGGAAGAAGCCACAAGUGACGGUACCUGCAGAAGAAGCGCCGGCUAACUACGUGCCAGCAGCCGCGGUAAUACGUAGGGCGCAAGCGUUGUCCGGAAUUAUUGGGCGUAAAGAGCUCGUAGGCGGUUUGUCGCGUCUGCUGUGAAAGCCCGGGGCUCAACCCCGGGUCUGCAGUGGGUACGGGCAGACUAGAGUGCAGUAGGGGAGACUGGAAUUCCUGGUGUAGCGGUGAAAUGCGCAGAUAUCAGGAGGAACACCGAUGGCGAAGGCAGGUCUCUGGGCUGUUACUGACGCUGAGGAGCGAAAGCAUGGGGAGCGAACAGGAUUAGAUACCCUGGUAGUCCAUGCCGUAAACGUUGGGCACUAGGUGUGG
rnacentral:rRNA from 1 species